GACGAACGCUGGCGGCGUGCUUAACACAUGCAUUUCGAACGGAAAGGCCCUGCUUUUGUGGGGUGCUCGAGUGGCGAACGGGUGAGUAACACGUGAGUAACCUGCCCUUGACUUUGGGAUAACUUCAGGAAACUGGGGCUAAUACCGGAUAGGAGCUCCUGCUGCAUGGUGGGGGUUGGAAAGUUUCGGCGGUUGGGGAUGGACUCGCGGCUUAUCAGCUUGUUGGUGGGGUAGUGGCUUACCAAGGCUUUGACGGGUAGCCGGCCUGAGAGGGUGACCGGCCACAUUGGGACUGAGAUACGGCCCAGACUCCUACGGGAGGCAGCAGUGGGGAAUAUUGCACAAUGGGCGGAAGCCUGAUGCAGCAACGCCGCGUGCGGGAUGACGGCCUUCGGGUUGUAAACCGCUUUCGCCUGUGACGAAGCGUGAGUGACGGUAAUGGGUAAAGAAGCACCGGCUAACUACGUGCCAGCAGCCGCGGUGAUACGUAGGGUGCGAGCGUUGUCCGGAUUUAUUGGGCGUAAAGGGCUCGUAGGUGGUUGAUCGCGUCGGAAGUGUAAUCUUGGGGCUUAACCCUGAGCGUGCUUUCGAUACGGGUUGACUUGAGGAAGGUAGGGGAGAAUGGAAUUCCUGGUGGAGCGGUGGAAUGCGCAGAUAUCAGGAGGAACACCAGUGGCGAAGGCGGUUCUCUGGGCCUUUCCUGACGCUGAGGAGCGAAAGCGUGGGGAGCGAACAGGCUUAGAUACCCUGGUAGUCCACGCUGUAAACGGUGGGUACUAGGUGUGGGGUCCAUUCCACGGGUUCCGUGCCGUAGCUAACGCUUUAAGUACCCCGCCUGGGGAGUACGGCCGCAAGGCUAAAACCCAAAGGAAUUGACGGGGCCCCGCACAAGCGGCGGAGCAUGCGGAUUAAUUCGAUGCAACGCGUAGAACCUUACCUGGGUUUGACAUGGAUCGGGAGUGCUCAGAGAUGGGUGUGCCUCUUUUGGGGUCGGUUCACAGGUGGUGCAUGCCUGUCGUCAGCUCGUGUCGUGAGAUGUUGGGUUAAGUCCCGCAACGAGCGCAACCCUUGUUCACUGUUGCCAGCACGUUAUGGUGGGGACUCAGUGGAGACCGCCGGGGUCAACUCGGAGGAAGGUGGGGAUGACGUCAAGUCAUCAUGCCCCUUAUGUCCAGGGCUUCACGCAUGCUACAAUGGCUGGUACAGAGAGUGGCGAGCCUGUGAGGGUGAGCGAAUCUCGGAAAGCCGGUCUCAGUUCGGAUUGGGGUCUGCAACUCGACCUCAUGAAGUCGGAGUCGCUAGUAAUCGCAGAUCAGCAACGCUGCGGUGAAUACGUUCCCGGGGCU
rnacentral:rRNA from 1 species